CAUAUGAUCUAAUCAUCAAAUCAACCUAUUCUAGGAUCUAUGGCAUGUUAUGUUGCAUAUAAAAUCUAAAAAAUACUGAAGAUAAAAUCAGCAUUCAUACAUGUGAGCAAUAGAUCACAUCUACUUCUAAUCUGAGUUCAGAAUUCGAUACCUUAGUACGGGUCGACGAUCACCACUGUUGAGAACAUGGUAGAAAAGAUCCUUGCUGAUUACUCAC
rnacentral:lncRNA from 1 species